rnacentral:rRNA from 1 species
UACGUAGGGGCCAAGCGUUGUCCGGAUUUAUUGGGCGUAAAGAGCUCGUAGGCGGUUCGGCAAGUCAGCUGUGAAAUCUCCACGCUCAACGUGGAGGGGUCAGCUGAUACUGCUGUGACUUGAGUCCGGUAGGGGAGUGUGGAAUUCCCGGUGUAGCGGUGAAAUGCGCAGAUAUCGGGAGGAACACCAGUAGCGAAGGCGGCACUCUGGGCCGGUACUGACGCUGAGGCGCGAAAGCUAGGGGAGCAAACGGG